AUUGGUGUUACAUUAGCUAACUUCCAGUCAUUGGGUACAGAAGCCAAUUUAAAGAUCAGGUUACAAACCUUAGUUAAUAGUUCCGCAACUUCACAUUCAAGUUCAACCUCCUCUAGUGAUACUUCAAUCUGUGACAGUUCCUUAGAUUUGACACCUACAAAAGCCCACUCAGGUUUGGGAAUCUCCCUAACAUCCUCAGCCAUGAAGACUGAAGCAAAGAAUCCAUUUAGUUUCUCCUCAAUGACUUUAUCAUCUUUAAGUGCUCCUUUUGUAUCUCGAUCCUCCAGGGGCCCUGCGGGUUGUUUAGCAGGCUUCUCGCUUCUAAUAUAUUUAAAAAACAUUUUAUUACCUUUUGAGUUUUUGGCUAGCCAUUCUUCAAACUCCUUUUUGGCUUUUCUUAUUAAAUUUUUCACUUAAUUUGGCAGUGUUUAUGCUCCUUUCUAUUUACUUCACUAGGAUUUGACUUCCACUUUUUAAAAGAUGUCUUUUUAUCUCUCAUUGCUUCUUUUACAUGAUUACUAAGCCCCAGUGGCUCUUUUUUAGUUCUUUCACUGUGAUUCUUAAAUUGGGGUAUACAUUGAAGUUGGGCCUCUAUUGUGGUGUCUUUAAAAAGCGUCCAUUCAACUUGCAGCAAUUUCACUUUAGUUAUUGUACCUUUUAAUUUCUGUUUAACUAACCCCCUCAUUUUUUGCAUAGUUUCCCUUUUUGAAAUUUAAUACCACAGUGUUGGGCUGUUGAGAUGUUCUUCCCACCACAGGGAUGUUAAAUGUUAUUAUAUUAUGCAGUUUAUUUCGAGCAACUGCAGUUAGUCGGGAGAGUACACAUGGGCAGAGUUUCCUCUCCUGAGGUAGGUCUCGGUUAGAUAAACAGUUAAGGCAAGCAUUUAUACCUUUUGUGACAUACAGUAAUGAGCAACAACUGCAUUUUGUUUGUACAUAUUCCUUUCUGAUAGCUUACUUCUCUCAGCAAUUUCUGCUACAAUCUGCAUUCUGUUCUUAUCUAACACAAGGUCAAAAACCAGCAUCUCUUACAGUUCUUUUCCACUCGCCAAGGCCCUGCUUGGAAGUCUUGCGUUAUUAGCUGUUAGAGUUAGCCUGGUAAAUAUCAAAUCCCUGGGAAAACACAGUUAUAUGAAGCAAAACAAAAUCACAAAAAGAAAUGUCAUUGGAAAUAGAGAAAUAAAAAAGGGAAAUGCAAUUCCCAUCACUUUCUCAUGUCUGGACCAUUCCUGUAUCGAGAGCACCCACUAAGGUCCCUGUGUGCUUACGAGAAACCUGGAGGAACUCAUACCACAGCCUGUACAUGAAACUCAACUGCUUCCAGGUGCCACAGUAAAACCCUUUCCCUGCUGUGAUGUUGAUGGUUCUAUGAAAAUAUGCUAAUGAGUGUGAAUAUAAUGUAACUGGAACAUGCUUCAUGCAAAAGGUCUCUUGUACAGUAUCAUUACAAAGCUUAUUCUCUACUGUGUGUAUUCAUCCUAUUUGUAUGAACUGAUCAUUCUUAUGUCUGAAACUAGAAAUAUGAAAGCAGCAAAGAGUCUAUGAGGUGCCACAGGACUAACAGACAUAUUGGAGCAUGAGCUUUUGUGGGUGAAUACCCACUUUGUCGGAUGCAUGUCAUAGAAAUAUGAACUAUAACUCUGAGGUCCUGUUGUAAUGAUGCAAAGUGUGGAUCAUUAAUAGUGGUUUGGUGGCUCCCAUUAACCAGGACAAUAGACUGGAGAUGGCUCUGUCCUGCACCAUCUGUGAAUCUGGCCAGGAAGAAUGAAGGCUUGGGGUCUCACAGGACAUGUGACCAUGUCACCUGGUACAAGAAUCCAUCUUGAACCUGGGGCUUUUCCCCAGGAGAGAGACAAAAGAUUCCUGCCUUGUACCAAAGCUGUAUAAGGGGGUGGAAGAGAAGAAAGGUGGUUGCAGUUAUGAGACAUCCCCUAGCUACCACCUGAGCUGGAACAAGGACUAUACCAGGUGAAAAGAUUGGACCCAGACAAGAAAUAAGUCUGGUCUGAGAAAGAAGCUUAUUGGAAGAUCUCUGAGGAUACAUUCGAAUGGCAGCCGUUUAGAGGUCAUGUGCUUAUAAUUCAUGAGCAGGAGCAGAGUCUCUGUAAGUUUCUGAUCUCAUUGAUCAUUUGGGUAGAAACAGCAAUGGUUUGGUGGUUUUUUGUUUUUUUCUCCCUUCGUUUUCUCCUAAGGAAUGUGUGAUCUUGAGCAUGUUAUUUUAAGUUCCCUGUGGGUCAGGAGAAUUCCAUCUCCUUGAAAUAUGUGGGGAAGUGACCUGUUUGUAUAAUCUAAAAUAAAGGAGCUUUUGUAAAGCA